rnacentral:rRNA from 1 species
CAGUAGCCACGGUAAUACGGAGGGAGCUAGCGUUGUUCGGAAUUACUGGGCGUAAAGCGCACGUAGGCGGUUAUUCAAGUCAGAGGUGAAAGCCCGGGGCUCAACCCCGGAACUGCCUUUGAUACUGGCGAUCUUGAGUAUGGGAGAGGUGUGUGGAACUCCGAGUGUAGAGGUGAAAUUCGUAGAUAUUCGGAAGAACACCAGUGGCGAAGGCGACACACUGGCCCAUUACUGACGCUGAGGCUCGAAAGCGUGGGGAGCAAACAGGAUUAGAUACCCCGGUAGUCCCUGUCUCUUAUAC